AUGAAAAAAGCACAAGAGAAGCUUGGGAAGCUGAUGGCUGACAAUGACCCACUAAACAAUGCAUUCAAGGAUUGUGUUGACAACAGCCUGACUGUUGAGGAGUUUGAGCACAAGUGGUGGGUGAUGAUCGAAGCGUAUGGCCAGACUGACAACGAGCAUUUCCAUUGGCUGUGGGAGAACAGGAAGUGUUGGGUCCCGGUAUACUAUAUGCACGACUUUUUCCCGUUCUUGCAGACCACGGCAAGAAGUGAGGGAUUUAACUCUGUGCUCAAGAAGUAUGUCAACCCAAACAACUCACUGGUCGAAUUUGCACAACAGUACACUGCGAUACAGGAUAAGGUGAUGGCUAGCGUGUCAAAAGAGCAGUUGGAAACAGUGUACAAAGAAACCGAAAUGUACUCGAUGAACCCGCUGGAGAUGCAGGUGCGGGGGCUAUACACACAUAACUUGUUUUGCAAGUUCCAGGUGGAGAUGAAGGUGAAAUCAGCAUACAGAUGCGACGCAUCGGAUGAUGGUACUUUCAAGGUCAGCUCAGUACGCGGGAUAAUACCGAAAUAUGGAGACAGGGACUACCAUGUGCAAGCAAACAUGGUUGAAGAGACAUACUCGUGUAGUUGCUGCAAGUUUGAUCGUGACGGGCUACUGUGCGUGCACGUACUAUGA
rnacentral:rRNA from 1 species